rnacentral:rRNA from 1 species
UACGUAGGGGGCAAGCGUUGUCCGGAAUGAUUGGGCGUAAAGCGCGUGUAGGCGGCCCGGUAAGUCCGCUGUGAAAGUCCAGGGCUCAACCCUGGAAAGCCGGUGGAUACUGUCGGGCUAGAGUCCGGAAGAGGCGAGUGGAAUUCCUGGUGUAGCGGUGAAAUGCGUAGAUAUCUGGAGGAAUACCGGUGGCGAAGGCGGCAUCCUGGACCGGCAUUGACGCUGAGGAGCGAAAGCCAGGGGAGCAAACGGG